AUUGAACGCUGGCGGCAUGCUUUACACAUGCAAGUCGAACGGCAGCGCGGGGCAACCUGGCGGCGAGUGGCGAACGGGUGAGUAAUACAUCGGAACGUACCCAGAAGUGGGGGAUAACGUAGCGAAAGUUACGCUAAUACCGCAUACGUUCUACGGAAGAAAGUGGGGGACCUUCGGGCCUCAUGCUUUUGGAGCGGCCGAUGUCUGAUUAGCUAGUUGGUGAGGUAAAGGCUCACCAAGGCGACGAUCAGUAGCUGGUCUGAGAGGACGACCAGCCACACUGGGACUGAGACACGGCCCAGACUCCUACGGGAGGCAGCAGUGGGGAAUUUUGGACAAUGGGCGCAAGCCUGAUCCAGCAAUGCCGCGUGAGUGAAGAAGGCCUUCGGGUUGUAAAGCUCUUUUGUCAGGGAAGAAGCGGCUGAGGAUAAUACCUUCGGCUAAUGACGGUACCUGAAGAAUAAGCACCGGCUAACUACGUGCCAGCCGCCGCGGUAAAAC
rnacentral:rRNA from 1 species